AGAUUGAACGCUGGCGGCAUGCCUUACACAUGCAAGUCGAACGGCAGCACGGGAGCAAUCCUGGUGGCGAGUGGCGAACGGGUGAGUAACACGUGGGCAAUCUGCCCUGCAUUCUGGGACAAGCCUUGGAAACGAGGUCUAAUACCGGAUACGACGCAUCUCCGCAUGGAGUGUGCGUGGAAAGCUCCGGCGAUGCAGGAUGAGCCCGCGGCCUAUCAGCUUGUUGGUGGGGUAAUGGCCUACCGAAGGCGACGACGGGUA
rnacentral:rRNA from 1 species